rnacentral:lncRNA from 1 species
AUAUAUUGAAAUUGUAAAUGUGAAUUAAAGGGGAGAUAAUCCAGAGCUAUAGGAUUCAUUCUAAAUAGUACUAGACCAGUGUUUGUAUUAAAGGGGAGAUAAUCCAGAGCUAUAGGAUUCAUUCUAAAUAGCACUAGACCAGUGUUUGUACUAAAGGGGAGAUAAUCCAUAGCUAUAGGAUUCAUUCUAAAUAGCAUUAGACCAGUGUUUGUAUUAAAGGGGAGAUAAUCCAGAGCUAUAGGAUUCAUUCUAAAUAGCAUUAGACCAGUGUUUGUAUUAAUUCUUUUAGAACAAGGUUAAAAUUUUGCACUUAGCAACUUUUGUGACGGGAUACAAAAAAUAAACUGACACAAUAACAAAAUUAAUUGUACUUGGAAGUUGAAACUAAUUAAACAUUGCAAGCAUUACAAAAAGAGUUGUUAACUUAGAACAUGUAGAAAUCAAAUUGUUCUUUAUGAUUGUAAGAUGGGAGGU